CGGGAUUGCCUUAGUAACGGCGAGUGAAGCGGCAAAAGCUCAAAUUUGAAAUCUGGCACCUUCGGUGUCCGAGUUGUAAUUUGAAGAAGCAACUUUGGGGCUGGUCCUUGUCUAUGUUCCUUGGAACAGGACGUCAUGGAGGGUGAGAAUCCCGUGUGGCGAGGAUCCCAGUUCUUUGUAAAGUGCUUUCGACGAGUCGAGUUGUUUGGGAAUGCAGCUCUAAGUGGGUGGUAAAUUCCAUCUAAAGCUAAAUAUUGGCGAGAGACCGAUAGCGAACAAGUACAGUGAUGGAAAGAUGAAAAGAACUUUGAAAAGAGAGUGAAAAAGGACGUGAAAUUGUUGAAAGGGAAGGGCAUUUGAUCAGACAUGGUGUUUUGCGACCCUCGCUCCUUGUGGGUGGGGAUCUCGCAGUUCACUGGGCCAGCAUCAGUUUUGGCGGCAGGAUAAAUCUUUGGGAAUGUAGCUUUGCUUCGGGAAAGUGUUAUAGCCCAGGGGAAUACUGCCAGCCGGGACUGAGGAUUGCGACUUUGUCAAGGAUGUUGGCAUAAUGGUUAAAUGCCACCCGUCUUGAAACA
rnacentral:rRNA from 1 species